CAACAGGGAUUGCCCUAGUAACGGCGAGUGAAGCGGCAACAGCUCAAAUUUGAAAUCUGGCCUCGGCCCGAGUUGUAAUUUGCAGAGGAUGCUUUUGGCGCGGUGCCUUCCGAGUUCCCUGGAACGGGACGCCACAGAGGGUGAGAGCCCCGUAUGGUUGGACACCAAGCCUGUGUAAAGCUCCUUCGACGAGUCGAGUAGUUUGGGAAUGCUGCUCAAAAUGGGAGGUAAAUCUCUUCUAAAGCUAAAUACCGGCCAGAGACCGAUAGCGCACAAGUAGAGUGAUCGAAAGAUGAAAAGCACCUUGAAAAGGGGGUUAAACAGUACGUGAAAUUGUUGAAAGGGAAGCGCUUGUGACCAGACUUGCGCCUGGCGGCUCAUCCGGGGUUCUCUCCGGUGCACUCCGCCAGGCUCAGGCCAGCAUCGGUUCUGGCGGGGGGAUAAGAUCGGCGGGAACGUAGCACCCUCCGGGGUGUGUUAUAGCCCGCCGAACGAUACCCUCGCGGGGACCGAGGUUCGCGCUCCGCAAGGAUGCUGGCGUAAUGGUCAUCAGCGACCCGUCUGAAACACGGACCAAGGAGUCGUCCAUUAUAGCGAGCGUUUGGGUGUAAAACCCGCACGCGUAAUGAAAGUGAAAUUAGGUGAGAGCUUCGGCGCAUCAUCGACCGAUCCUGAUGUUCUCGGAAGGAUUUGAGUAAGAGUUAUAACGGACGGACCCGAAAGACAGUGAACUAUGCUUGUAUAGGGUGAAGCCAGAGGAAACUCUGGUGGAGGCUCGCAGCGGUUCUGACGUGCAAAUCGAUCGUCAAAUAUGAGCAUGGGGGCGAAAGACUAAUCGA
rnacentral:rRNA from 1 species